rnacentral:tRNA from 1 species
GCGGGCGUAGUUCAGCUGGUAGAACGCCUCCUUGCCAAGGAGAAGGUCACGAGUUCGAGUCUCGUCGCCCGCU